rnacentral:rRNA from 1 species
UACGGGGGGUGCGAGCGUUGUCCGGAAUCACUGGGCGUAAAGGGCGCGUAGGUGGUCUGAUAAGGGUGUGGUGAAAGCCCGGGGCUCAACCCCGGGUCGGCCGUGCCGACUGUUGGACUAGAGUGCUGUAGGGGCAGGCGGAAUUCCGGGUGUAGCGGUGAAAUGCGCAGAUAUCAGGAGGAACACCGGUGGCGAAGGCGGGUCUCUGGGCAGUAACUGACGCUGAGGAGCGAAAGCGUGGGGAGCGAACAGG